CAGUAGCCGCGGGAACACGAAGGGGGCUAGCGUUGUUCGGAAUUACUGGGCGUAAAGGGAGCGUAGGCGGACAUUUAAGUCAGGGGUGAAAUCCCAGGGCUCAACUCUGGAACUGCCUUUGAUACUGGGUGUCUUGAGUGUGAUAGAGGUAUGUGGAACUCCGAGUGUAGAGGUGAAAUUCGUAGAUAUUCGGAAGAACACCAGUGGCGAAGGCGACAUACUGGAUCAUUACUGACGCUGAGGCUCGAAAGCGUGGGGAGCAAACAGGAUUAGAUACCCGCGUAGUCCCUGUCUCUUAUAC
rnacentral:rRNA from 1 species